AGAAAUUGUAUACUAGACUAGU
rnacentral:miRNA from 8 species